rfam:Bombyx mori DNA, contig: Bm_scaf3_contig3316, strain: p50T/Dazao, build 2, whole genome shotgun sequence.
UUAACUCAAAUUUGUAUGGAGUUGGAAUGCUUGCGUACGUUUGCCGCUAGGGGCGCUGUUACAACUGCAUACAAAUUUGAGUUA